CACGUAGGGCGCAAGCGUUGUCCGGAAUUAUUGGGCGUAAAGAGCUCGUAGGCGGUCUGUUGCGUCCGCUGUGAAAACUCGGGGCUUAACCCCGAGCCUGCAGUGGAUACGGGCAGACUAGAGGUAGGUAGGGGAGAAUGGAAUUCCCGGUGUAGCGGUGAAAUGCGCAGAUAUCGGGAAGAACACCCGUGGCGAAGGCGGUUCUCUGGGACGGUACUGACGCUGAGACGCGAAAGCGUGGGGAGCAAACAGG
rnacentral:rRNA from 1 species